UCUCCGUUGGUGAACCAGCGGAGGGAUCAUUACCGAGUUUACAACUCCCAAACCCUUAUGUGAACCGUACCUAUCGUUGCUUCGGCGGGAACGCCCCGGCGCCCUGCGCCCGGAUCCAGGCGCCCGCCGGAGACCCCAAACUCUUGAUAAUUUAUGGCCUCUCUGAGUCUUCUGUACUGAAUAAGUCAAAACUUUCAACAACGGAUCUCUUGGUUCUG
rnacentral:misc_RNA from 1 species